CUAAGAAUCUUGCGCAAUGGGCGAAAGCCUGACGCAGCAAUUCCGCGUGGGGGACGAAGGCCCUCGGGUCGUAAACCCCUUUUGUGAGGGAAGAAUAAAUGACGGUACCAUUUAUAAGCUCCGGCUAACUACGUGCCAGCAGCCGCGGUAAUACGUAGGGAGCAAGCGUUGUUCGGAUUUACUGGGCGUAAAGGGCGCGUAGGCGGCGCGGUAAGUCACUUGUGAAAUCUCUGAGCUUAACUCAGAACGGCCAAGUGAUACUGCUGUGCUAGAGUGCGGAAGAGGCGACCGGAAUUCUUGGUGUAGCGGUGAAAUGCGUAGAUAUCAAGAGGAACACCUGAGGCGAAGGCGGGUUGCUGGGCCGACACUGACGCUGAUGCGCGAAAGCCAGGGGAGCAAACG
rnacentral:rRNA from 1 species